GGGUACGAUCAUACCAGCGUUAAUGCACUAGAUCCCAUCAGAACUCCAUAGUUAAGCAUGCUUGGGCUAGAGUAGUACUCAGAUGGGUGACCUCCUAGGAAGUCUUAGUGUUGCACCCU
rnacentral:rRNA from 1 species